GCGCCCUUGGUCUAGUGGUAUGACUUGAGCUUCCCAAGCUCAGGACGUGGGUUCGAUUCCCGCAGGGCGCA
rnacentral:tRNA from 2 species